rnacentral:rRNA from 1 species
UACGAAGGGGGCUAGCGUUGCUCGGAAUCACUGGGCGUAAAGGGUGCGUAGGCGGGUCUUUAAGUCAGGGGUGAAAUCUUGGAGCUCAACUCCAGAACUGCCUUUGAUACUGAGGAUCUUGAGUUCGGGAGAGGUGAGUGGAACUGCGAGUGUAGAGGUGAAAUUCGUAGAUAUUCGCAAGAACACCAGUGGCGAAGGCGGCUCACUGGCCCGAUACUGACGCUGAUGCACGAAAGCGUGGGGAGCAAACAGGA